GGAAUGGUGCCUCCUCAUACUCCAGGAAGAGAUUCCACACUCCUGCUUGCAUGCCCGCGUGUCUGACUGUGCUCCUGUCUAUGGAGCACCAUAAGAAUAAUUUCUCUGAGACUCUGUUUUCUCAUCUGUAAAAUAAUUGGGCUGGACAAGAUCAUCAUCAUCUCUUCCAACUAGUUCCAAACAGCCUAGAAUUCUAAGCGCACCAGAUCUCUCUCGUCUGUUUUCCCCGAUAUAUCCUAUAUCCCUCCCUAUCCACCAACCCAAUACCAAUAUUUUAAUCAGGAUUGACAGGGGCAGACCAAUGCUCAUGUAUUUAGAUUCCAGGCCCCUCCCCAACAAGAUCACUUUACAGGGCAUCUUCCUCCAGCCUUUUCUGCCCAGAUUCAUCUCCAUAUGAGAGGCAGAUCCUUCCUCUCUCCCAAGCACUACAAGGACACUGAG
rnacentral:lncRNA from 1 species